UUACGGCCAUAUCACAUUGAUACACUGGUUCCCUUACAAUCACCGAAGUUAAGCAACAUCAGUCUGUGUCUGUACUUAGAUGGGUCGCUGCUUGAGACUACCAGGUGCUGUUA